GGGAGGGUAUUAUUGUCUAGAAUGGUGGGGGUAACACUCUUGUUUUGAUGAGUAUGAUGAAGGGAAUUCAUCAAUGGUCCACCAUUUGACACAUAUUAUAUGUUCGAUCUCUCCUCCAUCAGUGCAUCUUUCAAAGCUAUGGAAACUGAAAUACGAAAAGGAACAUGUUUAAACUUUAAAGUCCAAAACAUCGAUCAGAAGAAAAAAAAGUAGAUAUAUUUGAAAAACAAAUCAUACAUAACCACUAAAUUCCUAUGUAUUUGGUUGGUGUACUUUACAUGUAGGUGUCAAGUACUUGAUUAGUCCACAAAAAUGCCCACUAACACCAGAUUUAUGCCAAAAGGAUAAAGUUUAGAGGUCAAUUGUGAUGAUCAAAACCUUUUGUAAAUGUGGUCAAUGAUAUGUCUUCUUCCAUACAUUAGCAAACAUAUCACCAACCGCAAGCAAUGUGUAAAAUGACACAUCAAAAUCAAACUAAAAAUAUACUUAUUAAGGAAAUAUUUGAAAAUUGAAAAUCACCAUUUGUUUGGUAAAUUAUUUAAACAUCCAAAAUCAAAAUUGAGAAAAAAAACCAUUGCUAUUGCCAAUUCAGCACUUGAGAUAACACGUGUAUCAAAUAUAAGCAAUGCAUAUUGUCAUACAUGUUGCUACCAUAGUCUAUGCUUAUAAAGACUGCAAUAAGAGGAAAAAGAGGUUGAUUAGGAUAUUAAAUAUAAUUAGAGUACCUUUUUGAUCUACGUGGUCAUGAUUCAACUAAAGUAAGAGACUUGUGGUUUCUCUUUAGAGAGGCUCUCUCGAAUUUCUUUAUACAAGUGUUGUUACCAUCGAUUUCAGGGCGGGUGGUGGUGGAGAGAAACCUAAAUAGCAAGACGAUUUUGACUUUUGAAUUUGAUUUUAUGGUGCAUAUGGAUCAUUGGUUGAUCAAUUUAACUUUCCAAAGAAAAAAAGGGAAUUGAACCGAUAUAUGGGGAAGAGAUGCAGCCGGAAUCUCAGGAUUCAACAUAGACACCAGUGUGUGCUCUCUCCACCCCUGUCUCUCCCGAUCGGAAAUCAAACAAAAAAAAAUCAACAAAAAAAUGCAAGUUUUCUUCUUACAGAAACAAUACCUGUCAAUUUUUUCUCUUUGGAGUUCAACCUAUGAUAUAGAUUUGAUCGAUAUGGAGAAAGUAUGAAGGAGAAGAAACGAAAGGAUGAUGUUUUCUAGAGAUAAAAGCAGAAAGUAACCUGGAAUAUGACCUUUUGGGCAAUAAAUUAGCAUUUCUUUGCACAGGAAGUCUAGAGCUAAACAAAACCCGAAUCUUUACCGGUAAGAAUCCGACUAUGCGCGAGUAUGGAUGAGGGCGG
rnacentral:lncRNA from 1 species